AUGGCUUGUGCCUGUGCACUGAUAACAGUGUACUCUGAAAAGGGGGAGUCAUCUGGCAAAAAUGUCACUUUGCCUGCUGUCUUCAAGGCUCCCAUUUGACCAGAUAUUGUGAACUUUGUUCACACCAACUUGCGUAAAAACAACAGACAGCCAUAUGCUGUCAGUGAAUUAGCAGGUCACCAGACCAGUGCUGAGUCAUGGGGUACUGGCAGAGCUGUGGCAAGGAUUCCCAGAGUUCCAGGUGGUGGGACUCACCAUUCUGGCCAGGGUGCUUUUGGAAACAUGUGUCGUGGAGGCCGCAUGUUUGCACCAACAAAAACCUGGCGUCACUGGUACCACAGAGUGAACACAACCCAAAAGCAAUACACCAUCUGCUUUGUCCUGGCUGCCUCAGCUUUACCAGCACUGGUCAUGUCUAAAGGUCAUUGAAUUGAGGAAGUUCCUGAACUUCCGUUGGUGGUUGAAGAUAAAGUUGAAGGCUACAAGAAGACCAAGGAGGCUGUUCUACUUCUUAAGAAACUUAAGGCCUGGAAUGAUAUUGAAAAGGUCUAUGCCUCUCAGCGAAUGAGGGCCAGUAAGGGCAAAAUGAGAAACCAUCAUCGUAUCCAAUGCAAGGGACCCUGCAUCAUCUAUAAUGAGGACAAUGGUAUCAUCAAGGCUUCCAGGAACAUCCCUGGAAUUACUCUGCUUAAUGUAAGCAAGCUGAACAUUUUGAAACUUGCUCCUGGUGGACGUUUCUGCAUUUGGACUGAAAGUGCUUUCCGGAAGUUAGAUGAACUGUAUGGCACUUGGCGUAAAGCUGCUUCCCUUAAGAGUAACUACAACCUUCCUGUGCACAAGAUGAUGAACAUAGACUUUAGCCGAAUCAUGAAAAGCCCAGAGAUCCAAAGAGCUCUUCGUGCACCACACAAAAAGAUUCAUCGCAGAGUCCUGAAGAAGAAUCCACUGAAAAACCUGAGAAUCACGUUGAAGCUAAACCCAUAUGCAAAGACCAUGCACCGGAAUACCAUUCUUCACCAGGCCAGGAAUCAACAAACUCCGGGUGGAUAAGGCAGCUGCAAGACUACAGAACAAGUCAGAUGAGAAGGGGGUUGCAGGCAAGAAGCCUGUAGCAAUGAAGAAGGGGAAAAAACCUGUUGGAGUUAAAAAGCAGAAAAAGCCUCUGGUAGGAAAAAAGGCUGCCUCUACCAAGACACCAGCAGCUGAAAAGAAGCCAGCAGAAAAGAAACCUACCACAGAAGAAAAGAAGCCUACUGUAUAAACUCUUUUAAUGUUUAUUCCAUAAACGUCAAAUCAUUUUGGACAGUUUAUUUUGAAUAAAGACCUGAGCAAAGAGUCAGUGA